rnacentral:rRNA from 1 species
AAAUGAAUUGACGGGGGCCCGCACAAGCGGUGGAGCAUGUGGUUUAAUUCGAUGAUACGCGAGGAACCUUACCAGGGCUUGAAUGCGGCACGACAGGGGCGGAGACGCCCCCUCCCUCGGGCGUGCCGCAAGGUGCUGCAUGGUUGUCGUCAGCUCGUGCCGUGAGGUGUCAGGUUAAGUCCUAUAACGAGCGCAACCCCUGUUGUUAGUUACCAGCGAGUGGAGUCGGGGACUCUAGCAAGACUGCCGGUGCAAACCGCGAGGAAGGCGGGGACGACGUCAAAUCAUCACGGCCCUUACGCCCUGGGCGACACACGUGCUACAAUGGCCGGCACAGAGAGCUGCCACCCCGCGAGGGGGAGCGAAUCUACAAAACCGGUCACAGUUCGGAUCGGGGCCUGCAACCCGGCCCCGUGAAGCUGGAAUCGCUAGUAAUCGGAUAUCAGCCAUGAUCCGGUGAAUACGUUCCCGGGCCUUGCACACACCGCCCGU